CAAACUUCUCGUCCGUGAAGUAAAUAAUUGUAACUAUGGUCCAACCAAUUGGGAGAUAAUCAAUAGAUUCCUUUUCGAGAACGAUUCAUAUGCAGUUCCUUUGGACAUUGAGCACAAUUUAUUCUUGCUUGUUGAACUUGAGAAAACCGUGUUCGCAAAUAAACUUUCAUUUCGUACUUGUACGAAACAUAUAUCAAAAAUAAAACUGAGAUAUGUAAAUUAUUUUCCAAGUUUCAUUUCAUAACAUAUAUCAAGAAUAGAACUGAAAUAGAUAUAAAUUAUUCAUUUUAAACACACAUAGUUAUCAAAAUACACAAAUUAUUAAAACACACAAUACAUAUUAGAAGAGAACAAUACGACACAAGAACAUCAAAACACGACUGUUACACCACAAACUCGAUCCUUCUUGAUGAACCAAUACGAGACUGCGCAGAUUGCAUAGAUCAAGGGCGAUUCAAGAAGUGUGUGAUGGAGUUGUGGAGUGAAGGAUUGGCCCUUACUAUUUUGCGAGCCACAGAACUCGGAGUGGCCUUGAAGGUUUUAGGGCAGCAAUCGACGAUAUUGCCUUGGCAACAAGGAAUACGAGGGGCUGGAGACUCUGCAUGGACUGUGAACAUAAUAAGCAGAAAGACACACACAAAAACACUUAUUUCUUUGGCCAUGAAAACAAAAAAAGUAAUUAUAAGCUCGUUCUCACAGGUUUGUUUGCAAGUUGGAGAGAAACGGGACAUUUGCA
rnacentral:lncRNA from 1 species